GAUGAAGAACGUAGCGAAAUGCGAUAAGUAAUGUGAAUUGCAGAAUUCAGUGAAUCAUCGAAUCUUUGAACGCACAUUGCGCCCCCUGGAAUUCCGGGGGGCAUGCCUGUUCGAGCGUCUCAGGGACGAACCCUCGCGCGGGUGUACGCGCGGUCGUGGCUGCGGUGGCGUGCCCGAGGCGGCGGCCACCGCGCUGGAAUCCAUGGGCGGACGCCUGCCGCGUGGCCGAGCGUGAUAUGACGCAUUGGCGCUCGCACGCGGCGAGGCUGCCAGCCCUGGCCCGUCUGUCGGGCGGGGGAGAGCAAGACACGUGAACUCCUCGAAUCAGGUAGGGAUACCCGCUGAACUUAAGCAUAUCAAUAAGCGGAGG
rnacentral:misc_RNA from 1 species